rnacentral:rRNA from 1 species
GAUGAACGCUGGCGGCGUGCCUAAUACAUGCAAGUCGAGCGAACAGACGAGGAGCUUGCUCCUCUGACGUUAGCGGCGGACGGGUGAGUAACACGUGGAUAACCUACCUAUAAGACUGGGAUAACAUCGGGAAACCGGAGCUAAUACCGGAUAAUAUAUUGAACCGCAUGGUUCAAUAGUGAAAGACGGUUUUGCUGUCACUUAUAGAUGGAUCCGCGCCGCAUUAGCUAGUUGGUAAGGUAACGGCUUACCAAGGCAAUGAUGCGUAGCCGACCUGAGAGGGUGAUCGGCCACACUGGAACUGAGACACGGUCCAGACUCCUACGGGAGGCAGCAGUAGGGAAUCUUCCGCAAUGGGCGAAAGCCUGACGGAGCAACGCCGCGUGAGUGAUGAAGGUCUUCGGAUCGUAAAACUCUGUUAUUAGGGAAGAACAAAUGUGUAAGUAACUAUGCACGUCUUGACGGUACCUAAUCAGAAGGCCACGGCUAACUACGUG